CCAGUCGCCAUCUCGGCUCCGGAAUUUAUCUGCCUUUCUCGGCCCCCAUUUGAUAUUUGUCUAUCAUUACUGAUUCGGGUCUGAUUGUCCUCUAGUGUUGUCCAGUUACUGUACGAGUCACACUCUCUUCACAUUUUGUGUGUGUGUCUGCAACCCCAGAAACCGCACAUUUAUCUCCCACACCUGGUUUCUCAUCGUCUCAUAUUGAAUACAACAUUCAUUCAUGCAAAACCUACAGCCAGGUUACGAGGAAUUUCAUGCAAGGUUCCAUCAGUAGGAACAU